CUGAGGUCGUGGGUUCAAGUCCCACCAGGAACGUCUUUUUGUUUUUGUACCCUCCAAUCGUCUAAAUCUGUUU